GACGACGCUGGCGGCGUGCCUGACACAUGCAAGUCGGACGGUUCUUGUAUCUUCAAGCUUGCUUGCAGGUGCAAGGAUAGUGGCGGACGGGUGAGUAACGCGUGAACAUCUACCCAUUGGACGGGGGACAACCCGUCGAAAGGCGGGCUAAUACCGCGUAAGCCGCGAGGUGAGAGGCUGCCUAUUGGUGGCCGCCGAUGGAUGGGUUCGCGUCCUAUCAGCUGGUUGGUGGGGUAACGGCCUACCAAGGCGAAGACGGGUAGCCGGUCUGAGAGGAUGGCCGGCCACACUGGAACUGAGACACGGUCCAGACUCCUACGGGAGGCAGCAGUGGGGAAUAUUGGGCAAUGGGGGAGACCCUGACCCAGCGACGCCGCGUGAGGGAUGAAGGUUUUCGGAUCGUAAACCUCUGUUGUACGGGAAGAAGGAUGUGACGGUACCGUACGAGAAAGCCCCGGCAAACUACGUG
rnacentral:rRNA from 1 species